UACGGAGGGGACUAGCGUUAUCCGGAUUCACUGGGUUUAAAGGGUGCGUAGGUGGAUCUGUAAGUCAGUGGUGAAAUCUCCAAGCUUAACUUGGAACUGCCGUUGAUACUAUAGAUCUUGAAUGCUGUGGAGGUGAGCGGAAUAUGUCAUGUAGCGGUGAAAUGCUUAGAUAUGACAUAGAACACCAAAUUGCGAAGGCAGCUCACUACCCAGAUAUUGACACUGAGGCACGAAAGCGUGGGGGAUCAAACAGG
rnacentral:rRNA from 1 species